rnacentral:lncRNA from 1 species
GUUAGACGCAGACUGACUAGGUUAGACGCAGACUGACUAGGUUAGACGCAGACUGACUAGGUUAGACGCAGACUGACUAGGUUAGACGCAGACUGACUAGGUUAGACGCUGAUCUAUCAGACUGACUAGGUUAGACACAGACUGACUAUUGUCUUCUCUCCCCUCCCCUGUCUAUAUACUAGUUGUCUUUCUCCUCUCCCCUGUCUAUAUACUAGUUGUCUUUCUCCUCUCCCCUGUCUAUAUACUAGUUGUCUUUCUCCUCUCCCCUGUCUAUAUACUAGUUGUCUUUCUCCCCUCCCCUGUCUAUAUACUAGUUGUCUUUCUCCCCUCCCCUGUCUAUAUACUAGUUGUCUUUCUCCCCUCCCCUGUCUAUAUACUAGUUGUCUUUCUCCCCUCCCCUGUCUAUAUACUAGUUGUCUUUCUCCCCUGUCUAUAUACUAGUUGUCUUUCUCCUCUCCCCUGUCUAUAUACUAGUUGUCUUUCUCCUCUCCCCUGUCUAUAUACUAGUUGUCUUUCUCCUCUCCCCUGUCUAUAUACUAGUUGUCUUUCUCCCCUCCCCUGUCUAUAUACUAGUUG